AGAAUCUUUCUCAAUGGGCGAAAGCCUGAAGGAGCGACGCCGCGUGGGGGAUGAAUGGCUUCGGCCCGUAAACCCCUGUCAUUCGCGAACAAAUCUCAUGCGAUAAUACCGCCUGGGCUGCUUGUAGUGAAAGGGAAAGGGACGGCUAACUCUGUGCCAGCAGCCGCGGUAAUACAGUGUUCCCAAGUUUUGUUAGGAUUCACUGGGCGUAAAGGUUGCGUAGGUGGCAGGAUAAGUCCGAUGUGAAAUCUCCGGGCUCAACCCGGAAAUGGCAUUGGAAACUGUCUUGCUUGAGGAUUGGAGGGGGGACUGGAAUUCUCGGUGUAGCAGUGAAAUGCGUAGAUAUCGAGAGGAACACCAGUGGCGAAGGCGAGUCCCUGGACAAUUCCUGACGCUGAGGCACGAAAGCUAGGGGAGCAAA
rnacentral:rRNA from 1 species